rnacentral:rRNA from 2 species
GGAUCCAGACUUUGAUUAUGGCUCAGGAUGAACGCUAGCUACAGGCUUAACACAUGCAAGUCGAGGGGAAACGACAUCGAAAGCUUGCUUUUGAUGGGCGUCGACCGGCGCACGGGUGAGUAACGCGUAUCCAACCUGCCCACCACUUGGGGAUAACCUUGCGAAAGUAAGACUAAUACCCAAUGACGUCUCUAGAAGACAUCUGAAGGAGAUUAAAGAUUUAUCGGUGAUGGAUGGGGAUGCGUCUGAUUAGCUUGUUGGCGGGGUAACGGCCCACCAAGGCGACGAUCAGUAGGGGUUCUGAGAGGAAGGUCCCCCACAUUGGAACUGAGACACGGUCCAAACUCCUACGGGAGGCAGCAGUGAGGAAUAUUGGUCAAUGGGCGAGAGCCUGAACCAGCCAAGUAGCGUGCAGGAUGACGGCCCUAUGGGUUGUAAACUGCUUUUAUAAGGGAAUAAAGUGAGUCUCGUGAGACUUUUUGCAUGUACCUUAUGAAUAAGGACCGGCUAAUUCCGUGCCAGCAGCCGCGGUAAUACGGAAGGUCCGGGCGUUAUCCGGAUUUAUUGGGUUUAAAGGGAGCGUAGGCCGGAGAUUAAGCGUGUUGUGAAAUGUAGACGCUCAACGUCUGCACUGCAGCGCGAACUGGUUUCCUUGAGUACGCACAAAGUGGGCGGAAUUCGUGGUGUAGCGGUGAAAUGCUUAGAUAUCACGAAGAACUCCGAUUGCGAAGGCAGCUCACUGGAGCGCAACUGACGCUGAAGCUCGAAAGUGCGGGUAUCGAACAGGAUUAGAUACCCUGGUAGUCCGCACGGUAAACGAUGGAUGCCCGCUGUUGGUCUGAAUAGGUCAGCGGCCAAGCGAAAGCAUUAAGCAUCCCACCUGGGGAGUACGCCGGCAACGGUGCAACUCAAAGGAAUUGACGG